rnacentral:rRNA from 1 species
UACGAAGGGGGCUAGCGUUGCUCGGAAUCACUGGGCGUAAAGCGCACGUAGGCGGCUUGUUAAGUCAGGGGUGAAAUCCUGGAGCUCAACUCCAGAACUGCCUUUGAUACUGGCGAGCUUGAGUUCGGGAGAGGUGAGUGGAACUGCGAGUGUAGAGGUGAAAAUUCGUAGAUAUUCGCAAGAACACCAGUGGCGAAGGCGGCUCACUGGCCCGAUACUGACGCUGAGGUGCGAAAGCGUGGGAGCAACAGGG